AUUUUUUGCCCUAACUUAUUAUGCACCCUAUUUUUUUUAUUGUUGUAGGGGGCUUGAUCACUAGAUUUCAACUUAAUAAAAGGACCCUCUACUGUUUCCAUAACACAACAGGAUUGAACACUGGGAUGUUGACUCUGAUGAUCUCCAACUGAUGUCAUUAUGAACAGCAUUUAAACACUGAACUUUUUAAUACUUGCUAAAAAGUGGAUGACAACCCAAAUGAGAACCACUGUCCAAAGGAGCCAAUUUUACAUGUGAAUGACUGUUUUUAUCAUGUGAUUUAAAGUUGUAAGUGGCAGCCCUUGCUCCCAAAAUUCAGUCUCCUCUGUUGUCUGAAAUCUAUCAGCAGUAAUUCGGUAUCAUCACCCUGAUACCGAAACCAGACAAAGAUACCACAAAAGAAGAAAGUUACAGGCCGAUAUCACAGAUGAACACAGACACAGAAAUCCUCAACAAAAUACUAGCAAUCCGAAUCCAACAAACAUUAAGAGGAUAAUACACCAUGAUCAAGUGGGAUUUAUCCCAGGGAUGCAAGGAUUCUUCAAUAUCCACAAAUCAAUCAGUGUGAUAAACCACAUCAACAAACUGAAGAAUAAAAACCAUAUGAUCAUCUCAAUAGAUGCAGAAAAAGCAAUAAUUCCUUCCAUUGGAGAACAUAAAUACUUCUCUGGAUGGCUACAUUUCAUUGGAAAUAAUUUGGGGAGGGAUGCCCAAAUUAAAUACCCCAAAUUUUAGAGUGAAUAAAUUUGUUAGGCAUUUUAUUCAUUCAUUAAUUUUAAUUUUAUUCAUUCAUUCAUUAAUUUUUCAUUCACUCUUUCAUCUCACUGAUUCCUGCAACUGAUAGAGCACCUUCUAUGGGCCAAGAGCUCUUCUAGGUGAUGGAAAUCUUGAGGGGAGCCCUUGAGAGGAGCACAUCCCCAUUUGGCAGCAGAACACUGAGCUGGUGAAGUUACCCAAAGUGGGGAAAGAGGCAUGGAACAGGGAAAAGACAUUCACCAAAUCUACUCUGCUACUUCACAGUUUUGCCUAAAGCUGACACUGGCAGUGCCCACAGGUGUCCAACUUCAACCACAACUGGUGAAGCAUGCAAAAAGCUGCCUUGAAAAAGGGAAGUUGACUUCGGAAGUGCAGGAUUCCCUAGAGUCCAAGAUUUCAUUGGUCGAGAACAAGUUUUCCUUAGCAUUUAAAAAAUGUUAUACUGUAAAUCCUUCAGUGGCAGAAUCCAAUUAGUCUCCCAAAGAAGCUGCUCAACAUAUUAAGACGCAUAUGUUCAGCAAAUCUAAAAUGGAAAAUUUCAUCUUCCUGAUCAAGCCAACUCCCCUAUUUUUGUAAACAGGACCAGACACAAGACUUGAAACCACAAAAUCACCUUGGACUACACAUUCCAAUCCUCUUUCCCACCUCCCGUGUUCCAUUUUGGCCAUGUUCUUUCCGUUCUCCUUCUACAAUCCUUUCCUUCCCCGCUAUGUUCUGCCUCAAUCUGAGCUAAUGUAUCAACAACUUAGGUCAUCUCCCUGCCUUCAGCAUUUCUACCUCUACUAUCCAUCCUGAAAGCUGCCACUAUAAAAGCAUUUUGAUCAUAUUGUUCGUCCUUUUGCUGCAAGGUAAACGCUCCUAAAAUUUAGCUUCAGGCCCUUGUUGUACCUCAAAUUGUGCUACAGCCGACCCUUAACCUUGCUGAGCUUCAGAUAAAACCUGAACCCCUUAGCUUGGUAUUAAAUUUAUCUACCCCCUAUCCUUACCAUCUUAUGUAUAACCACUAUUUCAAGGCUUCUAUUUCAGUCCAGAUGGUUUACUCACCCCUCCUUAACCACUCUUCAUUUUUCCAGUUUCAUAUAUUUACUCGUAAUUGUUCCACACAGACAUGCACACGCGCGCGUGCUCACACACACCCACACAACUACAGAUUUAAGCUUUGUGCAGCACUCGACAGUUCUUGGAAUGUCUCUGAGUCUGAUUGUCAACUGUAAAUGAAAUUUUAAAUAUCUAACCUCUCAAACUUGUAGGCUCUUUCUGAGGACCAAAGAAACUAAUAUUUUAUUGACUCCUUGUUAUAUGCCAAACACUUUGCUAGUUUCAAUAAGGUAUCAUGUUGCCUUAUUAAAAUCUUCCAGUGAUUCUGUGAUAGAGGUAGAUCUUAUUUUCAUUUUACAGAUAAGGAAACUGAGACAAUCGUUUGUAUGUAAAUACUUUGAAAACUGAGAAACAGCUAGAAAAAUGUGUGUUUUUGUCUGUUUGUGACCUCCUAUUAAAUCUUCUGUUUUAUGCAAUCUUAACUUUUUCUCCAACUACAUUUUAAGGUAUAAAUGAUUUUAUGUAUUUCUUUAGAGUAUAUCCUCUCAUGAUAGUUACUAGAGUUCAUAAUUGCUUUGUAAGUAUUUUCAGGUUUAUUUUGAUAUACAGCUUAUGUGAUAGUUGAUUGAUGAUUUUUACUUUUCCAUCAGAGGAGCUUAAAAUUUUCUUUCCUCCAUUUUUGCCUAUUAGGUGGCAGCCACAUACCUGACAUUAAAGAGGCUAUGGAGGGGUUACCAAGGAAAAGAGAUAAGCCUCACUUAUGUGGGCUGCCUCAGGGUGUUAUACAUAGGUAUAACUAAGAUUUGUCCUAUUUGAAAAUAUUUCAAAAUAUAUUUAAGUGAGCCAAUCAAAUCUGACCUAAUGAAGGGGAAAAUAUUAAGAGUAACUGAACACUAUCUGUGGCAUAUUUUAAAAAGAUCUAUUAGUGAUGAGGCAACCGAGGAUAACUUCACUUCCCUAGUGCUAAACACAAUAGACAAGAUAAUGAUAGAGGCUCAUCAGACUCUACCUUUGAAACUUGCCUUUGAUGAUUUAAAUACAGGAAGUUAAACUAGUUAAUGCUUGAGCAGGGAUUUGUUUAUUCUAUUUAUCUGAAACUAAAGCCAACUAUCAUAGUAAGUUGAAUGACCUUAAAUCUCCAUAUUUGAGCAGAACUUAAUGGACCACUUGCUGAUAGAUGAAUUCAAGAAAAUAAACCAGCUCCCAAAUAUGUGUGUGGGUAUACUAUAUAUACUAUAUACUUUGCUACUCAACUCUAAAAACAAAUGUUUCUUUUGUAGAAAAAUUAAAGUGAUAGAUUCUAAACAACUUUCUAUAUAAAUAAAGAUCCUAGACUCAAAAGGUGGCUGAUUCAACUUAAUUUUUUAAAUUGUACUUUAGGUAUACCUAAUGAUUAAAACUUUUUGGUUAAAAAAGGUGAGUUUGAUUUCUACUACUUUUUUUCCUGUUCUCCAAUUAGAAAGAACAUGUUUUCAUGGUACUUUGCUCAGUAGAAGUAAACAUUUAAGGAUGGCUCCCUCUAAGUCCAUUUUUUCAACAUGAAACAGGAUGCCUGGCAUGAACUACAUUUCCUUUAUUGCACUCUGUUAAAUUCCAAAUACAGUUAUACAUCUUAAUAUAAGAAAUAUGUGUGACAUAGCACAUUUUCCAAGACAAUAUGUUUGAAAUGAAGGAUGAACUAGGGAAAUUAAUCCAGCAGUCUAUUAGAUGAUGACGGUUUAAGGAAAUGCAGUCUUAUCUUUUCCACGCAUCAAGGCCAUCAGUUUUGCCUUUAUCCACUAGAGGGGGUAAUGUUCCUCCAUCCUAAAAGGACAUGGAAUUAUCCCAAUGAGAUUUAAAUGCGCACAGUGACCUUAUUUCUUUUGAAACCAGGUUAAUUAAAUAACAUAAUACAAUGGAUGCCAAAAAUACCAAUGAAAGUUGCUUCAAAAACAUUUGUGGAAAAAAAAAAAAACAUUUGUGACCCCAAGAUCAGAAAUAGCUGUUUUUGUCCACCCUAAAACUUUGCAAAAUCCGUGGUUGUAAAAAGGAUGGGUUAAAUGUGUUUUAGCUAAGAGAGGAAAAUUUUACAUAAAGUAAUGUUUUCUAUGACCGUUCCAAAAAGUACUGUGUUCUUUUUCAUGUGAUUAAUUUCACCUUACUAGAGUUGGUAACUGGAUUGUUGUCUGUUUGGUUCAGCAAGGAGGCAAAUCACCUCUUUACAUUUAAGGAUGCAUUUAAGAAAGAAUUAAAGAAUUAAAUAGAUUUAUAGAAGUUUAUAAUAAACAUCAUAAAUACAUGAAUUUGACAUAUUACAUGGUUGAAUAGUGAUACAGGAUUCAGAAUACUUAAAGAUCAAUACAUAUAUACAGAACUGGUUUUUCACAUAUAACUAUGUAAUUGUCACGGUUUAUCACGGUAAAAUUUUCUUUUAAUAAAUUCCAAGUCAAUAAGACAAGAAUGUUUUUUUCUUUAAACCUACUGAAAAAUAGUUCGAAUUGGCAGAAUAGCCAAUCAUGUUUGGUUGUUAAAAGAUAAUCAAAGUAAUUGGUUAGAAAUAACCAGUUGCCACACUGAUGAGAUGUCAUAAUUAUAAUUAACUGUGCUAUUAGGUCAGUUGUUUAGUUAUUUCUGUGAAUAAGAAAAAGCCUAAUCAAAAUGCAGAAUAAUUAGUUCAGUUGAAAAGAAGAGAUAUAAUUUGUGAAAAGCAAGUAUAUUACAUCAACCUUAUUUUUCAUAAUCCUAAUUAUUUUCUAAAAUAAAAAAUAUUUCUAGUUCCUGGAGAUUAUUUCCCUUGAAUAAUAGCUACAGCAGUGGUUUCAAGUGGUGGGUGAAUACCAUACUUAUCAUACAACUUUUAAAAAUAUUCAUGCCAAGAGCCCCCCUACAGGAAUGCUGAUUCAGUGGAUCUGGGUUGGGAUCUCAGCAUGGGGACUUGUAAAAAAAAAAUCUCCAUAUUCUAAUCUGUAGCCCUGGCUGAGUGUCACUGCACUGCCCAAUUGUACCUGACUAGGUUUUUCUCCUUGUUGUUUGACCCCUAGAAAGUAUAUAUUAGAAAGUCUUCGGAGGCAAAAGAAGAAAAUUACUGUGAAUUAUUAUGACUUUUUACAGGAAAAUCUCCUAUUGUAUGAAUGAGAGUAAAGACCUCAAAAUACCUAUGUGUGAUAGUGAAUUCCACAUUACAGUGCAAAUAAACAUGCUUUUGAA